UACGUAGGGGGCGAGCGUUGUCCGGAAUUAUUGGGCGUAAAGCGUGCGCAGGCGGUUUUGUAAGCCAGAUGUGAAAGCCCCGGGCUUAACCUGGGAAUGGCAUUUGGGACUGCAAGGCUUGAGUGCGGCAGAGGAGACUGGAAUUCCUGGUGUAGCGGUGAAAUGCGCAGAUAUCAGGAAGAACACCCGUGGCGAAGGCGGCUCUCUGGGCCACUACUGACGCUGAGAAGCGAAAGCAUGGGGAGCGA
rnacentral:rRNA from 1 species